UGCAAUCGCAGCCUUCUUCCUACAGGACAAGAUUUGACAGCCACCACGUGUCUGGACCAGGAGGUUGGGACUACGGACGGUCCAGAAUCAAAUCUUAGCCCUCUUCCUACAGGACAAGAUUCCACAGCCACCACGGUUAUGGACCAGGAGGCUGGGACUACGGUCGAUCCAGAACAGGAUUUAAACCUUCCUCCUACAGGACAAGGGACAAGACGAAUUCGGAGGAAGAAAGUUGGAACUAAACAGAAAGAUUGCCCCCACAACAACUGGGAGGUGC